rnacentral:lncRNA from 1 species
UUAAAACGUUAUCCAGAGGAUAUAAUUAAAGAUAGAACAGUGGCGUAUCCACAUUGAGCGUGUGAUUGUAAUAUCAAGUAAUAGAUUUAUGAUUUAAAAAGGUAUAAUCCGCCAAUAAAUGGAACUUUAAACACUGUAUCUCUAACAAUUGUCUUUCAUGUUGGUCGUAUAAAUAUAUUUGACAUAAUUAUUUGCCAGCAAGUUACAGGACAUGAAGUGACAAUUAUUUUUUCGCGUCACACAGGUAAUUGGAAAAAAUAUUGUCGUUUAUAGUAUAGAGAGGCGCAUCUAACGAUUAUAAAAGCAGUGAUGGAAUUGUAUACUAGAAUUGUUAUGUCAC